CCUACGGGGGGCUGCAGUGGGGAAUAUUGCACAAUGGGCGCAAGCCUGAUGCAGCCAUGCCGCGUGUGUGAAGAAGGCCUUCGGGUUGUAAAGCACUUUCAGCGGGGAGGAAGGCGUUAAGGUUAAUAACCUUGUCGAUUGACGUUACCCGCCGAAGAAGCACCGGCUAACUCCGUGCCAGCAGCCGCGGUAAUACGGAGGGUGCAAGCGUUAAUCGGAAUUACUGGGCGUAAAGCGCACGCAGGCGGUCUGUCAAGUCGGAUGUGAAAUCCCCGGGCUCAACCUGGGAACUGCAUUCGAAACUGGCAGGCUAGAGUCUAGAAGAGGGGAGUAGAAUUCCAGGUGUAGCGGUGAAAUGCGUAGAGAUCUGGAGGAAUACCGGUGGCGAAGGCGGCCCCCUGGACAAAGACUGGCGCUCAGGUGCGAAAGCGUGGGGAGCAAACAGGAUUAGAUACCCCAGUAGUC
rnacentral:rRNA from 1 species